rnacentral:rRNA from 1 species
AAUGAACGCUGGCGGCAGGCCUAACACAUGCAAGUCGAACGAUUGGCGGACGGGUGAGUAAUGUCUGGGAAACUGCCUUAUGGAGGGGGAUAACUACUGGAAACGGUAGCUAGUACCGCAUACCAUCGGAUGUGCCCAGAUGGGAUUAGCUAGUAGGUGGGGUAAGGGUUCACCUAGGCGACGAGCCCUAGCUGGUCUGAGCGGUUGACCAGCCACACUGGAACUGAGCCACGGUCCAGACUCGUACGUGAGGCAGCAGAGGGGAAUAUUGCACAAUGGGCGCGAGCCUGAUGCAGCCAUGCCGCGUGUAUGAAGAAGGCCUUCGGGUUGUAAAGUACUUUCAGCGGGGAGGCGUUACCCGCAGAAGAAGCACCGGCUAACUCCGUGCCAGCAGCCGCGGUAAUUC